AAAUAUUUGAUGGAUAAUAAUUUUGUAUUAUAAAUGGAAGAAAAAGAGAAGAAGAGACGAUCUUCUUUAAUUAAAGAUUAAAGCUGUGAUUAAAGCUAAAGCUAAAUACCUAACCUAUUUAUAAUACCCAAAUUUACAGGUUUCAAGUUUUAAUGUAGAGCAUAAUUAUGUAGAGUAGAAACGCAGAAACCAAACUGGAGGUGAAUCAGUAAAUAAUUUCUGGUAUUUUAGAGAAGACAGCAAUUGCAAUUUUCAAGCAUAUCUAAAAUCUGCCAAAAUCUUGUCACUCACUGAUUGACUUAAUGGCCAUUAGGGGAGAAAUAUUAGCCUACAGGUCCAGUAAUUGAAGAAAUAAUAAAUUCCACUGAUCACUGAUAGAAAGAGUAUUAAAAAAAACAUUUAGUGAAUGAUGAAUUACGGGAUAUAGAUAAGGCCAAUAGUAGACAGGAUCUCUCCUAUGCAAAGGAACCAGAUAUUUUGGAUAAACAGGAAACAGAUAGCUUGUUGAAAAUCCUUGUAGGUGAAUACAGUCUUGAUUAUAUAAAAGCCAUUCAGUGGGACAGAACCCAUGAAAAAGAUGCCAUAGGCCCAUAGAGCACCUAAGAUAAAAUUAUAGUUGUAAUGUUCUACCAACUGGAGUAUGGAACAAAGUUGGGACUCCUUGGUGCUAGUUCUGAUGGAAUUAUUGAAGAAGGAUUAUGUUGUAUUAGCGAUUAUGAUGAAUUUUGUAGGUUACAAUCUUUAUGUAGCUAAAUAGGGACUGUUACAUGUUAUUUUCUCUGCCAUAAAGUUGAAAAUUCAAGUUUGUGCAUUAAUGCAAUAAAUUUUAAGAAUUAUAAAUUUAAUGAAAUAAUUCUAAAUAAUAAUUGUAAACCAGCAUUUUUCAGUGCGUCACAGUUUUUUGAUUUCUUUCUAACGCAUUAAAUUGUAUGUGACAGAAAAAAAAGGCACGUCUGUGAUUACAGACAUUUAUAACAUUUAUUCUAGUUGUCGAUACAUGGCGCUAUAAUCGAAGAAAAAAUUAUUUACGAAUUAUAUCUACAUAUAUAAUCUGUACAAUUUAUAAGACUAUACAAAUCAAAUGCCAUUUUACAAAUGCAAUAAACACAAUUGAUUUGUUUUUAUGCCAAAUUGCAAAUAAAAUGUGACAACUGUCUGAUUUAACUAAAAUGUCAUGUUAGAAUAAAUGUCAUAAAUGUGUAUUAUCACAGACUUACCUUUUUUUCUAUCAUCUGUGACGCACUGAAAAAUGAUCAUGAAAAGGACUCUAGCAUAAUUAUAUCAAACAAAGUCCCAAAAGCAUGGAUUUCACAGGAAAUGUAAAAAUGUAAGUAGGUGAGAAGUUAGCCACAGUUUUAGUGACUUAAAUCUAAACGAGUAUAAAACUGUGUGUACCUAUGUGACAAUAACAUUGUUGUUUUCAGUAUUUUCUUUACAAUUUCAUCACAUAUUCUCACCUUUUAAACUUUCCUUGGAUUUCUACAAAUGUUUUAAAAGCGAGAUUAGCUAAUUCAGUUCAGUCAUUCUGGAGCUGUUGUAAAAAAUAUAUAACAAAAUAAAAUGAAGUUUAUUAAAUGUCAUACAAUUUUUACAUAUCGAAACCGCACUGGACACACUGAGUGACUUGUUGCAUUAGAGUUUUAUAAGAUUAGAUACUGAAGAAUUGCUGAAUUACGAUAUAAACUCUUUUUAGAAUUAUGUUAAUUAUUGUAAGAGAAAUAAUUUUAAUACGCCAUGGUGCAUGAAGUUUAAUGAUUUUGUUUUUAGUGGACCACAAUCAAUUGUUGAUGAUUUUGCCAAUUUCUUCAGCAGUGUCCAUAAUCCUUCUUUUUCCUGCCUGGGCGAGUGGAGUCAUGGACCCAUAAUCACUCACAGCCAUAUUCACUCCUUAACUAUUAAAAUUUGUGACAUUCUAGCAUGUUUACAGAUACAGAAAUUGUCAUCCCCAACUUGUAAAUUCAACUGUGAUCUGGUUUCCCAUUACUCAAGCAUGUAUUGAAAAGUUAGAGAGAGUUAAAAGAAUAUUUCUGAUGUACUUGUUCUUUUAAAUUGUGUAGGCCAUAGUCUUAAUCUGGUAUGAUCAAUUUCUUGAAUCUGAAUUCUCUUCUUAUCAGAAGAGUUAACUUUAGUAUGAGCUUUAUUUUUAAGCUUGUAAAUGGAAUAAUUUAACCUUCUGAAUUGCUUCAGUUAAUUUGUUAUAUUCCUUCCCGUUCACUGUGUUACAAUUCACUUUUCCUUGUUCUUUAUCGCAGAACGAAUUAUGGUCUGACCAUAAUUAGUUCAAAUACAUGUAUGGUAUGCUCUGACCGCUAUGCGUGCAAGUCAGUUACCUCAUGAGAUAUAAUUUGUUUAGCUUAUAAUGUACCAAUAGCUUUAGGUAGUAUUUGAAGCACUGAAAUGCAAAAUGAUGCAUUGUAUAAAUAAGUUUGUAUUCAUUUAUAUUUUAUUUUUAUUACUAAUUUUAUCUAUUUUAUAUUUCUUUAAUGCUGUAUUCUUAUAUAAUUUUGAUAGUGGGUUUGUCUCGUUUGUUAGUAAUAAAUAAAUAUCAGUUAAUUAAUAUAUUAAUGUAAUAUGUAAUAAAAGUUCAUUUAAAAA